UUUUCAAUUGCGUACUUCACGUACUUAAAUCCGAUCUUGCCUAUUUCUCAGCAAAGUAACACGAUGAAAAUUCGACUGCUAGUUUCGGUGGUUCUUUGUUUCGUUUGCGUCUUCGCAGAUGAUGAGUUUGUUUGCCAGGAAGGAGUCCCUUACAAAGAAAAUAAUUGUAACAGUUGUUGGUGUAGGAACGGUCGGCUUGCGUGCCACUUGAUGGAAUGUGGGUAUGUUGAAGCUCUGGAAAAAUGCGUGCCAGGAACGAAGACUAAGAACCAUUGUAAUGACUGCGUAUGUGUAAAGAAUUUGGGGACGCUUUGUACCACCUACGAAUGUACGAGUGUGUAAUUUCAAGUAUAAUAUUCAAUGAGUAUAAUAU